rnacentral:rRNA from 1 species
AUACGUAGGUCCCGAACGUUGCGCGAAAUUACUGGGCGUAAAGGGUCCGUAGGCGGUCUGGUAAGUGGAAGGUGAAAGCCUGGGGCUCAACUCCAGAAUUGCCUUCCAAACUGCCGGACUUGAGGCAGGGAGAGGUCGGCGGAAUUCCCGGUGUAGUGGUGAAAUGCGUAGAUAUCGGGAGGAACACCAGUGGCGAAGGCGGCCGACUGGAACUGUCCUGACGCUGAGGGACGAAAGCCAGGGGAGCGAACCGGAUUAGAUACCCCAGUAGUCC